rnacentral:lncRNA from 1 species
AGAUAGAUGAAAGCCUGAAAAGAAUCUUCUAGAAAGAAACCAGGCUUGCAACAAAGACUUUCUACGUCUCUUUAGAUCCACCCACAGCCCUGUGGCUCCUUCACUUUAUGUUCAGUGAGGCAUCAAUCACUCAGCCGAUGUGGAACACAGGAAGAGCUCAGGAAAAUGCUGAGGGCUGGAGAGUGUUUCAUUUCAUAAAGAACCAUGCUAAGAGCCACAGCCACCACCUUUUUUUUCCUUUUUUUUUAAGAAUAAUUUUUGUUUUUUUUUUAAAUUAUAAAAACUAAGUUCAUGGAAAAACAUUUAGAAAAUGCAAGAAAUACUUUAAAACAUUAAAAUUAUCUUUAGCUCAACUCCCUGACAUUUUGAUGUGUUUCUUUCCAGUGGGGAAGACCUCGUAUACCACUGCAGCAGGCGGGAGCCAGAAGUGGGUCAGAACUCUGGAUGAAGUGCUUGAGGCUCCAGAUCUGGACGCCCUGCUUCUUGGUCAACCAGCAGAGACUUCCUAAGGCUGGAGCCUGAGAGGGUGCUCUGGUCUGUCCAUUUCUUCAUCCCGAGGAGGAUGCUUAGAGCUGCAUUCUUCCCCCAGGCCCACUCCUGAAGUUCUGCAACUCUUCAUGAGCAGCUGCAGUUGCCCCAGAGGAAUCACUCCCUCCUCAAGAAUUUCAUCUCUGGGCCUGAAAUUCCACCCCGAGAGGUCCACUCAUUUGCACGUGGAAGACUUGUUAGUUUGCAGAGCUUGCACACUUGAGUACAAAUACCGUUAUCGACAGGUAAGACCUUGGUUUGACUCUGAUCAACAAAACAUUCAGACUUUGUCAGGAUGAAAUUCUAGAUUAGGAGCUGGAGAAGAGAUUCCUGGAGGAGGAAGAGAAAAAAGUGGAAAAGCAGUGAGACAGACUUACACUGUACCCACUCACUGUGUGUGCCGGGCACUUGCCGAGGUUUACGUUACGUAACCUUUGUUAUGUUGCUGGGAGGGAUGGGUUACUGAGCCCACCUGAAAGAUGAGAAGACUGGGAAUCCAAAAAGUUGACUAAAUUGCUCAGAUCGUUACAGAGUACUUACUUUACUUUAACUCUGGUUAUUUUUCUGUGUUAGUGCCUACAGAUUCACUUUCGAGUAUUUCUUCUUUUAAUCAACCCAUGUCUCUUACAUUAGAUAUUAAGUAUCUUUGGUCGUUU